rnacentral:rRNA from 2 species
CCAAGGCUAAAUACUCCUGACUGACCGAUAGUGAACCAGUACCGUGAGGGAAAGGCGAAAAGAACCCCGGCGAGGGGAGUGAAAAAGAACCUGAAACCGUGUACGUACAAGCAGUGGGAGCACCCUUUGGGGUGUGACUGCGUACCUUUUGUAUAAUGGGUCAGCGACUUAUAUUCUGUAGCAAGGUUAACCGUAUAGGGGAGCCGGAGGGAAACCGAGUCUUAAUUGGGCGUUAAGUUGCAGGGUAUAGACCCGAAACC